GAUGAACGCUGGCGGCGUGCCUAAUACAUGCAAGUCGAGCGAACAGACGAGGAGCUUGCUCCUCUGACGUUAGCGGCGGACGGGUGAGUAACACGUGGAUAACCUACCUAUAAGACUGGGAUAACUUCGGGAAACCGGAGCUAAUACCGGAUAAUAUAUUGAACCGCAUGGUUCAAUAGUGAAAGACGGUUUUGCUGUCAGGUGUGGAUGGAUCCGCGCCGCAUUAGCUAGUUGGUAGGGUAACGGCUUACCAAGGCGACGAUGGGUAGCCGGCCUGAGAGGGGGACCGGCCACAUUGGGACUGAGAUACGGCCCAGACUCCUACGGGAGGCAGCAGUGGGGAAUAUUGCACAAUGGGCGGAAGCCUGAUGCAGCAACGCCGCGUGCGGGAUGACGGCAUUCGGGUUGUAAACCGCUUUCGCCUGUGACGAAGCGUGAGUGACGGUAAUGGGUAAAGAAGCACCGGCUAACUACGUG
rnacentral:rRNA from 1 species